rnacentral:rRNA from 1 species
AUAUCUAGAAUAUUACAGAUUCGUAUUCCAGUACAUUCAAAUGGUGAUUUCAUUCUCUUCAUAUUGGACAAAGAUACACAUACUGUCCAUAUUUUGGAUCCUAUCCCUAUCGAUCCUAUCUACCAAUACAACCCACACGCAAAAUAUUUGCAUAGACUUAUAUGGAUUGCAGAAUAUUUACCGAAAGCAAUGUCAAAGGAACUAUCUGGUUACCUUAUUACCCUCUACAUGUCCACAUGGGAAGAUGAGAAACAACAUUUACCAUUUCUAAAGGAUGGAUACGAACUCAGGAAACAAUUUUUUUGACAUCUUCUAACAUUCGAGGACAAUGAAUCUGAAGAUGGCAUGCCUGCUGGUGUCCGGUACUUCAUCAAUUGUAUCAGGAUGAAGAAGCUAUCAACUAUAUGUCCAACUGCUGCUCCUAAAUUGUCUCGACAAUCCUAG